CUAACUCCGUGCCAGCAGCCGCGGUAAUACGGAGGGGGUUAGCGUUGUUCGGAAUUACUGGGCGUAAAGCGCGCGUAGGCGGACUGGAAAGUUGGGGGUGAAAUCCCGGGGCUCAACCCCGGAACUGCCUCCAAAACUAUCAGUCUAGAGUUCGAGAGAGGUGAGUGGAAUUCCGAGUGUAGAGGUGAAAUUCGUAGAUAUUCGGAGGAACACCAGUGGCGAAGGCGGCUCACUGGCUCGAUACUGACGCUGAGGUGCGAAAGUGUGGGGAGCAAACAGGAUUAGAUACCCUGGUAGUCCACGCCGUAAACGAUG
rnacentral:rRNA from 10 species